CCUUCCCGGUGGUAGGAAGAACUAAAAUAGGUUUCCUGAAGAACAGAAGGGGCGUAGAGGCAGCAAAUCCGAAGAAUAUCUAUCAAUCAGUUCGCCUACUUUCGUACCCAAGCACGGGAUGCGACUUGCCAACUGAGAUGGAUAGGCUGGGUCAGCUAGUAUUGAAUAAGAAUAAGCUCUUCUUCCCCCGCUCCUUGGCGAAUUGAGUGCACUACUAGCAAUGAAGGGCGUAUCAGCUCCCGGUUGAAAAAUCCCUCUAUUCCUUGGCAGUAAUAGAGUCAAUACUCUUUAGUCGACCUUACUCGGUUUUCUUCGGUGCUAUCGUCUGUCUAUAAAUAGUAGAUCAUGGCGAAAUUAACAGCAUCAAAGCAUUCAAACGAAGAAGGAGUCCCCGUCCAACGGAGCACUAAGAAGCAAGUCCUCCUGAGAUGGGAGGCGGCGUAGAAGGUUUAAUAUAGUUUUAGUGCCGCGAGUGCCUCUUUUGGUUGGUGUUCAGUGAUUGAAAGAGAUGAUCGGAUCAAAUCGAAUUAGCUAGAUUCAACUUAUCCCAGGCAAGAAGAGAAGGGAAGGCACGAAGGGUAGACGAAUCAAAUCAGUCUAAGGCUAUGCUCUGGGUUCUGGGAAGGUAGUUCAGUCACACCCGAUGGAAAAGAAGUGCUUCCUAUCUUAGCAUCUGAGCCGGC